GGACGAACGUUGGCGGCGUGCUUAAUACAUGCAAGUCAACUGAAGCAGAGGUAGUAAUAUCUCUGUGGAGGUGGCGCACGGGUGAGUAACACGUAGGUAAUCUGCCUUCAGGUCUGACAUAACCCCGAGAAAUCGGGGCUAAUAGCAGAUGAUGCAGCGGCUUGACAUCAAGACAGUUGUUAAAGCUUCGGCGCCUGAAGAUGAGCCUGCGCUGAUUAGCUAGUUGGCGGAGUAACAGCCCACCAAGGCUACGAUCAGUAGCUGGUCUGAGAGGAUGAUCAGCCA
rnacentral:rRNA from 1 species